UACGAAGGGGGCGAGCGUUGUUCGGAUUUACUGGGCGUAAAGGGCGCGCAGGCGGUUCUGUUUGUCGAGUGUGAAAGCCCCGGGCUCAACCUGGGAACUGCGCUCGAAACGGCGGAACUAGAGUUCGGGAGAGGAGAGUGGAAUUCCCAGUGUAGAGGUGAAAUUCGUAGAUAUUGGGAAGAACACCGGUGGCGAAGGCGGCGACCUGGUCCGAUACUGACGCUGCGGCGCGAAAGCGUGGGGAGCAAACAGG
rnacentral:rRNA from 1 species